UUGGAGGGCAAGUCUGGUGCCAGCAGCCGCGGUAAUUCCAGCUCCAAUAGCGUAUAUUAAAGUUGUUGCAGUUAAAAAGCUCGUAGUUGAAUUUCGGGAUCAGUACGCCGGUCGUGCCUUCGGUAUGUACUGGUGUCACUGAUUCCUCCCUUCUGACGAACCGUUAUGCCAUUUAUUUGGUGUGGCGGGGAAUCAGGACUGUUACUUUGAAAAAAUUAGAGUGUUUAAAGCAGGCUCGCGCUUGAAUACAUUAGCAUGGAAUAAUGAAAUAGGACGUUUGAUUCUAUUUUGUUGGUUUCUAGGAUCGACGUAAUGAUUAAUAGGGAUAGUUGGGGGCAUUAGUAUUCAAUUGUCAGAGGUGAAAUUCUUGGAUUUAUUGAAGACUAACUACUGCGAAAGCAUUUGCCAAGGAUGUUUUCAUUAAUCAAGAACGAAAGUUAGGGGAUCGAAGACGAUCAGAUACCGUCGUAGUCUUAACCAUAAACUAUGCCGACUUAGGGAUCCGGAAUGAAAUGU
rnacentral:rRNA from 1 species